rnacentral:pre_miRNA from 7 species
CGCGUCUCCAGGGCAACCGUGGCUUUCGAUUGUUACUGUGGGAACCGGAGAUAACAGUCUACAGCCAUGGUCGCCCCGCAGCAC